GCCAAGGUUUUAAAAAGGAUUUCCCUUGUUUGACUAAAAGUCAGUGACUUUACGUGGUAAGUUCCCAGCUCAGAUUCUUGGCAGCUGGACACAAACACCACACACGCACGCUCUCUUUCCUUGCCCUUUCUUUCCUUCUCUCUUUCAAGGUGGAAUUAUACAGCAAGAGGCCUCUGGGCUGAGUCCUUUCUGCACAGCAUGUCCUGAGUGCUAGGAAAGAGCACUUUCCUCCAUAAUAAUAGCUCACUUCUCCAGCCUUGAUAUUCAGCAUGGUGGGAUAUAGGAAGGCGAAGAACCGGGAUACGGUGAAAAGUGUGUUCAGGUUGAAAUGGCACGCAGGCCAGGAAAGGGAUGUGGAAGCCGUGGACUUCAAGUGGCAGAUGAUAUAUAAAGAAUUCAGCUUUCCUGAUUGAAUCUGGUAAACAAAGGCACACGCAGGAAAGGGAGACGUAUCUUUGGCUGGAAAUCUUGAAUGGUUUCGCCUCUGUUGAGUCUCCUGUGAGGUUGUGUAACCGCCCACAGCUAAGUUAUAUAAGGACAAUUGGAACAUGAUGAGGCAUCAGUUUUGGGUGGGGGCACUUCCAGCGAGGGGUACCCUCAAAUGGCACCAAUCACACUCUGCCUGGCUCACACCCCUUGGGAGAAUGAUUCAUUCUUUCCUUGUAGAUUCACUUCUCUCUUUUCUGCGCGAAAUUUCUUCUGCUGGGAACGACAGAUCUUUGCAAAUUUCAGCGCCACUCCCUCUCAUAUUUUCCAUUCUUGAAGCCCAGAGAGGCUUACUGCUAGUAGCAGUGGCAUUGCUGGCAUAUCCAGGGGUUGAUAAGGGCACUCUGGAUUCAGCAGGGCAAGCUGAAUUUUGCCUUUCUCAGCUCAUGUCAAGACCCUGCAACUUUUCAACAUUACUGUCCACCCAAGAUUUUUUGGAUGACAGAGAUAGAGAAUCCAAGCAGCCUCUGCCAAACCGCUUAUUUCAGUAGGGCACAGUCACUAAGACUUUCUUCCUUCAUAAGCGUGAUUUAGAUGAUUUAAUUUAGGCUUACAGUAUAAAGAAAACAUGUCUCAUUUGGAUUAGAUUCCAGUUGCAGCCCUACUUCGCGUCAUGAAAAGGCUAUUUUUAUUCAUUGGGACCUUCCUUUAUUCUUUCCUCAAAGGAUCAAAAUAAAAAUGAUGCAGGGAAGCCAGGACUGAUCUCCCAAAAGAUUUUCUUGAGCUUAUGUCACUCACAUGAUCAACAUCUUUGGGCCAAUUAUGGUGGGAAGAUGUGUUGAAAUUUCUUUCCACAAUAGCGGGUUUUCUUCCUUGAAAACCCCCAAUAAAAGUGUUUUAAUGUUUGGAGUUUUAAAGAGAUAUCAGAUCUGAUCAUGAUUCUGUGUCAUGAACACUUUGCCUCUGAGCAUUUGGAGUUCUCUUCUGUUCUGGCGCAAAUGCUAAUUUCUUACCACUACUUUGUAUUCCUAGAGUCUUGCCGCCAUUUCAUUUCUUACAGCCAUGUUGCUUUCUAGUGAUUGGAUAUAGAGGAAAUCUAAGGAUCCACAUCCUCGACUGGGUAAAAAAUAAUCAAUGGGUAAAUCUGUACUGUCCUCAUUAAUUAGGGCAUCUUUCGGAAACUUGACACUCAUGUAGGCUCUUGAGCAUGGGAGGAUCUGAGCAGGCUAUGCUCAAUGAAGGUCAUGGUGAGGAAUUCAAUUUAUUUAGAAGAUAUAAAGAUGAGGACUUUCUUGAUGCUCAGCCAUUUAAUUUUUUGCCUCUUCCAAUACCAGCACCAUCCCUUCAAAAACGAUACAAAAACUUGACACGUCAAAUCGUCUUGUUUCUGCAGAAUCUGAAUCCUGCGGUAGUUGUAAAUACCCUGCUUAAGCUUGAGAAUAGAAAAGGUACCAAAACAGUAACACCCUUGCCAUACUGCCUCUAGGGCCUACUGCUAAAUUGUACGACCAUGGAAAAGGAGAAAAAUAGGUAUCUGGCUGAUCGCUAUUACUCUUGUUGAAUCUCUAUUUCUAUCAUUGAAGAAAAAUCCUCUGUUUAUUUUCACCAAAUCUGAUGUUUCCCAUAAUUAACAUAGAAAGGGAAGUCUGUUUUAUAAGCGCUGAGGAAGCUGCUAUCCACUAUGGAUUCCUUCCCUGUAUUCAGCCCAGCCUAACUAUGUAAUUGUAAUAUUAAUUAUAUAAACUCAUAAAAAACUGCAUGGAAUUUGCAAUUAUGGCCCUCCCUUUUGUGUUUCCUAUAAUGUAUUAGCAAAAUGUUGGAAUAAUGUUGGAAUAACCAUGACAAAAAAGAUAGUUUUGUGAAUUGUGAAGGUUCUAGAGCCUUGGCUAGGCGUUACUUGCCAAUUUUGUUUAGGCCAUUAAAUUAGAAUGGCUUAAUCAGAUGGAAUUUCCAGCAGUUUAAGAGCUAACGGCUCAUUUUAAUUGGUAAGGAAAGAUUUUAAUCAAUUGAAUUACCGGCUUCUGAAUAAAUUUGGGUUUUUUGGUUUGGG